rnacentral:rRNA from 1 species
CCUACGGGGGGCAGCAGUGGGGAAUAUUGGGCAAUGGGCGCAAGCCUGACCCAGCAACGCCGCGUGAAGGAAGAAGGCUUUCGGGUUGUAAACUUCUUUUAAGUGGGAAGAGCAGAAGACGGUACCCCUUGAAUAAGCCACGGCUAACUACGUGCCAGCAGCCGCGGUAAUACGUAGGUGGCAAGCGUUGUCCGGAUUUACUGGGUGUAAAGGGCGUGCAGCCGGAGAGACAAGUCAGAUGUGAAAUCCACGGGCUCAACCCGUGAACUGCAUUUGAAACUGUUUCCCUUGAGUGUCGGAGAGGUAAUCGGAAUUCCUUGUGUAGCGGUGAAAUGCGUAGAUAUAAGGAAGAACACCAGUGGCGAAGGCGGAUUACUGGACGAUAACUGACGGUGAGGCGCGAAAGCGUGGGGAGCAAACAGGAUUAGAUACCCCUGUAGUC